rnacentral:lncRNA from 1 species
UAAACAGAGCAGAGCUCAGGUGACAUCACAGAACAGGCAGAGGCAGUUCAGGGGUAUUCUGGUUGCCUUACCCAGCUCUGAAGUCUGUCAGCCUCUUCAGAUGUCACUUGCCAUGUGGUAAGGAAGUGUAGUCAGCAGCUGGUGCAGUGGGAAGAAGAGAAAGGAAGUUCCCCAAGACAAAAACAUCUCGGCAGACCGUGAUCAUGGGCUACAUUCUCCGUACCAGCUUCAUAGCUCCAGUGAGAAAAUAAAUUCCUGCAUCCAGGAGAUGUGGAGUAAGAGAUACAGCUGCCCUUGACCAUAUUUCUUACUUCCGAGAAGAUCGUAGCAGUAAUUCAGGUUAUUGGGGAACAGGUGGUUUGGGUUACAUGAAAUCUCAUCCAGGAUACCUCAUCACAGGCUGGAGUGCAGUGUCAUGAGCUUGGCUCACUACAGCCUCCAUCUUCUGUGCUUAAGGAUCCUUCCCUCUCAACCUCCAAGGUAGCUGAGACUACAGGCAACAUUCGAAACCCAGGUGCCACUCCUUCAGGAAGGUACCAUCAAGCUCCAAGGACUCAUCCUCUUUCUCCUUCCCCACUACCUAGUCAUUAGAGCGUCAGCAUCCACUUCCUGAAAGGAAGAUGCCUGUUUUUCACAUAUCCCAGAAAGCCUCAUUUUAGGACAGCAUUUAGCAGAGUGUAUUCAGGAUCCCACUAACCUUUUCGGAAGACAUGACUUCCAGAUGAUAUAAGGCAAGAAUAAGAAAUUUCAGUGACAGGGAACAGAAAUCAUAUUUCUGCAUUCAGGAUCAUGUUUUCUUGGCUCCAUCAGGAACUGUGCAGGACUGUGCACUCUGUUGAUACUCACAUGGUGGAAUUAUAUUGCCCUUGGCCAACCCUAAAGCCAUCAAGAUAGCAGGUUUGGAAUAAUUCACUGUCGAAGUCUUCUUGAGCUGAGCAGUCAUGUGAGCUUGGAAGAUGAUCCCUCUCCAGCUGAUCCUUCAGCUCAGGCCAUCAUCUACAUCUGGAUUCCUGACCCGGAGAAACUAUGAGUAAUGUGUGCUGCUUUUGAGCCACUAAGCUACAUGAAUUAAUGAAGGAUCAUUAUUAAGUUUUUAAUGGGUCAAGAGAAAGUUACCACUGAGGUCUUCUCUACCUGGGCAACAAUUGACUCCUAACAACCACUAUAAGCUUGGAAGAUGAUCCCUCCCCAGCUGAUCCUUCAGGCUCAGACUUUGACAGUCCUCUGAUAUACUUUAUAUGUAAAUAGAUGGCUGAGUGUUCUGGCUGAUGAACAUGGGUUACUUAACCAGAGUUAAGCGAGGACUUUCUCACCUGAAACCACCAAGAGACACAAAAGCCAGAAAAGGACAGAAAUUAAUUCAAGGGUCAACAAAUAGAGUCGGCUUUCUUUAAGACCUGAAGUGUAGAAGUCUAGGUUGAACCCUAGGUUGAUUACGUUGAAGACUACAUUCUCCUGUGAAGCAAGCAUUCCUAAAGGGUCUCUACUUUUUGUAGCCUGGGGAUUUUCUACUCCCCCAACAGCCAGAUGAGGCAGAAACCCCUACAGACAUCCCUAUGUGCCUCCUGUGCAAGUGCAGUUGCCCCUUGAAGGCAGUUCUCCUGCUGCAGACCACGCCCACCAAGGGCAGAGUCACAGCCACUGCAGCUGAGCUCAGAGCCUUCUGUGGGGUCUGCAGGGGCAAGGCCAGCUGUCCCCUGGGAUAGUUUGAAGAAUGCAGUUUGUUUGUAUAAUAAAGAUGUUUCUCUACGUCAUUCAUCUUGCUAAUCAAGGACGUUUAACAGCUUCAGACUUUCCUGGUAAUAUUUGUUCUUGCCUUUUUUUGGCAAAUAUAGUUAACACUUCUAUGCAUUUUUUACCUCACAUAAACAUCAUCUAAAACCAUUCAUAUUUCUGUAUUGCGUAUUAAUGCUUUUCAUUCCUGUAUAUAAAAAUGCAUUCAUAAUCGCUUUUCAAAAUACAUUU